rnacentral:rRNA from 1 species
GUGAGGAAUUUUCCGCAAUGGGCGAAAGCCUGACGGAGCAAUGCCGCGUGAAGGAUGAAGGCCUAUGGGUUGUAAACUUCUUUUCUCAGAAAAGAAUUAUGACGGUAUCUGAGGAAUAAGCAUCGGCUAACUCUGUGCCAGAAGCCGCGGUAAGACAGAGGAUGCAAGCGUUAUCCGGCAUGAUUGGGCGUAAAGCGUCUGUAGGUUGUUUAAAAAGUAUUCUGUCAAAGAUUAGGGCUUAACCCUAGAUAGGCAGAAUAAACUUUUAAGCUAGAGUUUGGUAGAGGCAGAGGGAAUUCCCGGUGGAGCGGUGAAAUGCGUAGAUAUCGGGAGGAACACCAAAGGCGAAGGCACUCUGCUGGGCCAAUACUAACACUGAGAGACGAAAGCGAGGGGAGCAAAUGGGAUUAGAUACCCCUGUAGUCC